rnacentral:rRNA from 1 species
CACGUAGGCACCAAGCGUUGUCCGGAUUUAUUGGGCGUAAAGAGCUCGUAGGCGGUUCGGUAAGUCGGGUGUGAAAACUUUGGGCUCAACCCAAAGCGUGCACUCGAUACUGCCGUGACUGGAGUUCGGUAGGGGAGCGGGGAAUUCCUAGUGUAGCGGUGAAAUGCGCAGAUAUCAGGAGGAACACCGGUGGCGAAGGCGGGUCUCUGGGCCGAAAUUGACGCUGAGGAGCGAAAGCGUGGGGAGCAAACAGG